GAGGAGAGUGAAGUAGCUGAUGAAAAUGAAGAAUUUCUCAAACAAGAAAAUGAAAGUGCUCAACAGGCUUCUGUGGGUGAGCAGUUGAAGGGUGAUAUUCUGUUAAUUCUGUUGAGUCCAGAAAACUCCAACAGAAAAGGUAACAAUCAAUCAACUGCAUCUCCUAGCCAGUCUAAGGGUUCUGGCUUGUCUCAAACAGCUGUAAGGUCUGAAGGGAGAAGCAGCAGAUCAGGUAAGAAGGCAAAAAAAA
rnacentral:misc_RNA from 1 species